CCACAGAACUUGGCAGAGAUGCCCUGGUGCCUUCGGGAACUGUGAGACAGGUGCUGCAUGGCUGUCGUCAGCUCGUGUUGUGAAAUGUUGGGUUAAGUCCCGCAACGAGCGCAACCCUUAUCCUUUGUUGCCAGCGAUUCGGUCGGGAACUCAAAGGAGACUGCCAGUGAUAAACUGGAGGAAGGUGGGGAUGACGUCAAGUCAUCAUGGCCCUUACGACCAGGGCUACACACGUGCUACAAUGGCAUAUACAAAGAGAAGCGACCUCGCGAGAGCAAGCGGACCUCAUAAAGUAUGUCGUAGUCCGGAUUGGAGUCUGCAACUCGACUCCAUGAAGUCGGAAUCGCUAGUAAUCGUGGAUCAGAAUGCCACGGUGAAUACGUUCCCGGGCCUU
rnacentral:rRNA from 1 species